rnacentral:rRNA from 1 species
GAUGAACGCUGGCGGCGUGCCUAACACAUGCAAGUCGAGCGAUUUACUUCGGUAAAGAGCGGCGGACGGGUGAGUAACGCGUGGGUAACCUGCCCUGUACACACGGAUAACAUACCGAAAGGUAUGCUAAUACGAGAUAAUAUGCUUUUAUCGCAUGGUAGAAGUAUCAAAGCUCCGGCGGUACAGGAUGGACCCGCGUCUGAUUAGCUAGUUGGUGAGGUAACGGCUCACCAAGGCGACGAUCAGUAGCCGACCUGAGAGGGUGAUCGGCCACAUUGGAACUGAGACACGGUCCAAACUCCUACGGGAGGCAGCAGUGGGGAAUAUUGCACAAUGGGCGAAAGCCUGAUGCAGCAACGCCGCGUGAGCGAUGAAGGCCUUCGGGUCGUAAAGCUCUGUCCUCAAGGAAGAUAAUGACGGUACUUGAGGAGGAAGCCCCGGCUAACUACGUGCCAGCAGCCGCGGUAAUACGUAGGGGGCUAGCGUUAUCCGGAAUUACUGGGCGUAAAGGGUGCGUAGGUGGUUUUCUUAAGUCAGAGGUGAAAGGCUACGGCUCAACCGUAGUAA